rnacentral:tRNA from 1 species
GGAAGCUCAGUGGUAGAGCACAUGCUUAGCAUGCACGAGGUCCUGGGUUCAAUCCCCAGUACCG